AAUCUUUAAAAAUCUUUUUCCCAAGAACCACUAAGCCAGAAAAGCUGAGAUUUAUAUGAAAGCUUCCUGAUAUAGUACAGAUUCUAAAUUGUUAAAAUCAUGGCCCCCGGGGUCGGAUGGGGCCACAAUAGGGGGUCAAAAGGUCCCCAAAAAAAAUUUUUUGGUUUUUUUUGUUUUUGUUUUUUAUAUAGUGCAGAUUCAAGUUUGUUAAAAUCAUGGACUCCGGGGAUUGGAUGGGGCCUCAAGGGGGGCAUCAAAGUUUUACAUACAAAUUUAUAGGAAAAAUCUUUUAAAAUCUUCUUCUCAAGAACCACUGAGCCAGAAAAGCUGAGGUUUAUAUGAAAGCUUCCUGAUAUAGUGCAGAUUAUAAAUUGUUAAGAUCAUGGCCCCCGGGGGUCGGAUGGGGCCACAAUAGGGGGUCAAAGUUUUACAUACAAAUAUAUAGGAAAAAUCUUUAAAAAUCUUCUUCCCAGAACCACUAAACCAGAAAAGCUGAGAUUUAUAUGAAAGCUUUCUGAUAUAGUGCAGAUUCAGGUUUGUUAAAAUCAUGCCCCCCCCCCCCCCGGGGGGGUAGGAUGGGGCCACAAUAGGGGAUCAAAGUUUUACAUACAAAUAUAUAGGGACAAUGUUUAAAAAUCUUCUUCUCAAGAACCAUUGGGCCAAAGAAGUUCACAUUUACAUGAAAGCUUUCUGACAUAGUGUAGAUUCAAGUUUGCAAAAACCAUGGCCUCCAGGGGAAGGUUUGGGGCCAUAAUAAGGACUACGGUUUUACAUGCAAAUAGAUAUGGAAAAUCUUCUGAUAUGGACCAAGGUGACUCAGGUGAGCGAUGUGGCCCAUGGGCCUCUUGUUUAAAUUUAUUUUUUUAUGUUAUAAAAUGAGUUUAUGUAUUAUCGCUUUUGUUAGAAAAAAUUCAAUUAAGUGCAGCAAGAAUAGUUACAGGAUUGACUUUAUUAGCUCCAAGAGAAUCUUUUUAUUUGGAAACAGGUAAAUUGAGAACCGCUUCACAUUAGGCGAAAAACAACACGAAUAAAAACAAUGUAUAAAGUGGACCAUAAUUUGACUCCAAACUAUUUUAAAGACAAUUUUCCUGGCAAAUCUACACACUGCAACACAAGACAUACACAAAUUACAAUGUACCUAAAUGUAAACUUCAAAUCUAUAAAACUUCCCUACACGGUCUGUUGAAAUCAAACAAAGGGAUAUUUAUGAAUGAAUUUUAAAAAAAAUGAAAGAUUAUUCACCUCUUUUUUACUUCGCAUAUGGCAACCGUCGGUUAAAUAUUAUUCAUAGAAGGAUUUAAAAAAGCACAAUUGUAUAUUGCACCAAGCUUUAUUAUUCAUAGAAGGAUUUAAAAAGGCACAAUUGUAUAUUGCACCUAGCUCUAUUCCGUUGUAACGUCCUUUAUGUACUUGUGGAAAAGUUGAAGAUGAAUGUCAUUACUUUAUUUUUUUAACAUGUUCUAGGUAUAAAGAAGCCAGACAUAUUCUUUUUAAUGACAUAUUUGGAAUUAGCAACUUGCAUAUUAUAAAAACUCAUGUUUUGUGGGGUAAAAGUGAACACGAAUAUUUGGUUACUAUCAUACAAGCUUUUAUCUAACAUAGUGGUCGUUUUGAUUAAUCAGUAUACAUGUAUAUCAUUACUUUGUUCUUUAAGCGAUCAACAUGUGCUAAAUUAUAUUUAUAUUUACAUUGAUUUACAAUGACUGUUUUACCAAGCAUACCAAGAUAAAUUGUUAUAUAUACAUGUGUUUUGGAGAGAACAUUCUAAGUGUUAAGGACUUGCGCUCAAUCCCUUUGUGAAUUCAGUUACAAUAAAUUAUGUUCAAACCAAA